rnacentral:lncRNA from 1 species
UGGCCUCAAAAGUAUGCAUAGGAGUUGGGAAGGCAGAGGAACAAGUGUAUUCAGAGACGCAAGGUCGUAGAGGGAAGGAGAGGGAGGGUGCUGGGUGGUCGGGCCGGAUUGUGAGGGUCUUUAAGGCCAGCUGGGGAGUGGAGCCUUUAUCCAGAUGGCGAUGGGAACCAUCUGGGAUUCACACUGAGGAACUGGGAGUCUCAGGAAGCGCCCCGGGCACAGAUGGAAGGUGUGACAGGGCUGUGUGAAGCCAGCUGGGAGGCCACCUCAGUCAGCCCUGGGAGAGUGACCUUGGGGAUGGAAAAGAGGACUUGAUGGUUCUCAGGCCUGGAGCUGUCUCGAUGCGGGGCCGCAGGUUGCCUCUGCAUUACCCUGAGAGCUUUCCAAAUUACUUCCCCGCUCCCUCACAUUUACAGCCGGUUUCUGCCCGCUACUCAGGAUUGUCUGCCGUGGUGGCUUCUCACACAAGCCUGUACUUUCCUGUGGGAGAAUAUUUCCUAGGAGCCUAUAUUCCAGUUCAUCUCUGACGUCAUAAAUCAUGACUGUGUAGAAAGGCGUGAGUAACUUGAACCCAUUUUACAAACCCAUUCAAUUCUCCUAAUGUUGCGAAAUAUAUCACAUAGGGUGUUAGCAGUUCUAACUGAACCUAGAAUAAUCCAGGGAUCCCAGUGAAUGCUGAUAGCCAGCCUGCUGGACAGACCGGUGGCUGUGUCAGUUCUUGUGAGGAGGGGCCAGGACCCUCCCUGGGCCUUCCCCUGUGCACUCCGAGCUGCUCCUCCCGACCUCUGGGAUGGAGCAAGUAAGAGAAAGAGGAAAUGCAGAGCCCCCACUUCCUGAUAUUUUCUCCUGACUUCAUACCUCCCGUUUUCACGCUAAACUGCCUGGCCCCUCUGGGAUGACCUAGGAUGAAGAGAGCCUCUCUUCCUGCAGAUGAUGGUCCUUGCUGUGUUUCCUCCUGUGCUGCAGGAUGUUUGAUACAGCUUCGUGAGUGGUGACUACAUGUGCACAUUUAGGCUCCAAAAGAGUCUGCACCUCAGCCCCGAUAGGACCCUUGGCAACUGACUUAGGCUCACUGAGCCUCCAUUUCCUAUUCUGCAAAGUUAGAAUCUUAGUAGCUCCUCGAAUAUGGGGGAUUGUAAGGGUAGAGUGGCUGAUGUAGAUAU